UACGAAGGGUGCAAACGUUGCUCGGAAUCAUUGGGCGUAAAGCGCACGUAGGCGGCUUUGCAAGUCGGACGUGAAAUCCCUCAGCUCAACUGAGGAAGUGCAUCCGAAACUGCAAGGCUUGAGUACUGAAGAGGAUCGCGGAAUUCCCGGUGUAGAGGUGAAAUUCGUAGAUAUCGAGAGGAACACCUGCGGCGAAGGCGGGUUGCUGGGCUGAUACUGACGCUGAGGCGCGAAAGCCAGGGGAGCGAACGGG
rnacentral:rRNA from 1 species